UACGUAGGGGGCAAGCGUUGUCCGGAGUUAUUGGGCGUAAAGAGCUCGUAGGCGGUGUGUCGCGUCGGCCGUGAAAACCUGCAGCUUAACUGUGGGCUUGCGGUCGAUACGGGCAUCACUGGAGUUCGGCAGGGGAGACUGGAAUUCCUGGUGUAGCGGUGAAAUGCGCAGAUAUCAGGAGGAACACCGGUGGCGAAGGCGGGUCUCUGGGCCAAAACUGACGCUGAGGAGCGAAAGCGUGGGGAGCGAACAGG
rnacentral:rRNA from 1 species